GAUGAACGCUGGCGGCGUGCCUAAUACAUACAAGUCGAGCGAACAGACGAGGAGCUUGCUCCUCUGACGUUAGCGGCGGACGGGUGAGUAACACGUGGAUAACCUACCUAUAAGACUGGGAUAACUUCGGGAAACCGGAGCUAAUACCGGAUAAUAUAUUGAACCGCAUGGUUCAAUAGUGAAAGACGGUUUUGCUGUCACUUAUAGAUGGAUCCGCGCCGCAUUAGCUAGUUGGUAAGGUAACGGCUUACCAAGGCAACGAUGCGUAGCCGACCGGAGAGGGUGAUCGCCCACACUGGAACUGAGACACGGUCCAGACUCCUAUGGGAGGCAGCAGUAGGGAAUCUUCCGCAAUGGGCGAAAGCCUGACGGAGCAACGCCGCGUGAGUGAUGAAGGUCUUCGGAUCGUAAAACUCUGUUAUUAGGGAAGAACAAAUGUGUAAGUAACUAUGCACGUCUUGACGGUACCUAAUCAGAAAGCCACGGCUAACUACGUG
rnacentral:rRNA from 1 species